GAUGAACGCUAGCGGGAGGCUUAAUACAUGCAAGUCGAACGGUAACAUGAGAGCUUGCUCUUGAUGACGAGUGGCGCACGGGUGAGUAACGCGUACACAAUCUACCUAUAACUGGGGGAUAGCCUCGGGAAACUGAGAAUAAUACCCCAUAGUAUUGACUUUUAGAUUAAUGGUCAAUUAAAGUUCCGGCGGUUAUAGAUGAGUGUGCGUCCGAUUAGCUAGUUGGUAAGGUAACGGCUUACCAAGGCGACGAUUGGUAGGGGGCGUGAGAGCGUGAUCCCCCACACGGGUACUGAGACACGGACCCGACUCCUACGGGAGGCAGCAGUAAGGAAUAUUGGACAAUGGAGGCAACUCUGAUCCAGCCAUCCCGCGUGUAGGAAGACUGCCCUAUGGGUUGUAAACUACUUUUAGAUAGGAAGAAUAGCAAGUAUUUAUGCUUGUGUGACGGUACUAUCAGAAUAAGCACCGGCUAACUCCG
rnacentral:rRNA from 1 species